rnacentral:tRNA from 1 species
AUAUAUAAAGUAAUUAUUUACGUUUAAUUUCGGCUUAAAGAUUUGAUUUUUAUCAUAUAUAUG